rnacentral:rRNA from 1 species
UACCCAGACUCCUACGGGAGGCAGCAGUGAGGAAUAUUGGUCAAUGGGCGAGAGCCUGAACCAGCCAAGUCGCGUGAAGGAUGACGGCCCUACGGGUUGUAAACUUCUUUUGUCAGGGAGCAAUUGAGUCCACGUGUGGGCUUAGCGAGAGUACCUGAAGAAAAAGCAUCGGCUAACUCCGUGCCAGCAGCCACGGUAAUACGGAGGAUGCGAGCGUUAUCCGGAUUUAUUGGGUUUAAAGGGUGCGUAGGCGGAAUAUCAAGUCAGCGGUAAAAAUUCGGGGCUCAACCCCGUCGUGCCGUUGAAACUGGUGUUCUUGAGUGGGCGAGAAGUAUGCGGAAUGCGUGGUGUAGCGGUGAAAUGCAUAGAUAUCACGCAGAACUCCGAUUGCGAAGGCAGCAUACCGGCGCCCAACUGACGCUGAAGCACGAAAGCGUGGGUAUCGAACAGGAUUAGAUACCCUAGUA